AUCAUGGCUCAGAACGAACGCUGGCGGCAUGCCUAACACAUGCAAGUCGAACGAAGGCUUCGGCCUUAGUGGCGCACGGGUGCGUAACGCGUGGGAACCUGCCCCUCGGUUCGGAAUAACAGUUAGAAAUGACUGCUAAUACCGGAUGAUGACUUCGGUCCAAAGAUUUAUCGCCGAGGGAUGGGCCCGCGUAGGAUUAGCUAGUUGGUGGGGUAAAGGCCUACCAAGGCGACGAUCCUUAGCUGGUCUGAGAGGAUGAUCAGCCACACUGGGACUGAGACACGGCCCAGACUCCUACGGGAGGCAGCAGUGGGGAAUAUUGGACAAUGGGCGAAAGCCUGAUCCAGCAAUGCCGCGUGAGUGAUGAAGGCCUUAGGGUUGUAAAGCUCUUUACCAGGGAUGAUAAUGACAGUACCUGGAGAAUAAGCUCCGGCUAACUCCGUG
rnacentral:rRNA from 1 species